rnacentral:rRNA from 1 species
UUGUCUGAACCGCAUGGUUCAGACAUAAAAGGUGGCUUCGGCUACCACUUACAGAUGGACCCGCGGCGCAUUAGCUAGUUGGUGAGGUAACGGCUCACCAAGGCGACGAUGCGUAGCCGACCUGAGAGGGUGAUCGGCCACACUGGGACUGAGACACGGCCCAGACUCCUACGGGAGGCAGCAGUAGGGAAUCUUCCGCAAUGGACGAAAGUCUGACGGAGCAACGCCGCGUGAGUGAUGAAGGUUUUCGGAUCGUAAAGCUCUGUUGUUAGGGAAGAACAAGUGCCGUUCAAAUAGGGCGGCACCUUGACGGUACCUAACCAGAAAGCCACGGCUAACUACGUGCCAGCAGCCGCGGUAAUACGUAGGUGGCAAGCGUUGUCCGGAAUUAUUGGGCGUAAAGGGCUCGCAGGCGGUUUCUUAAGUCUGAUGUGAAAGCCCCCGGCUCAACCGGGGAGGGUCAUUGGAAACUGGGGAACUUGAGUGCAGAAGAGGAGAGUGGAAAUUCCACGUGUAGCGGUGAAAUGCGUAGAGAUGUGGAGGAACACCAGUGGCGAAGGCGACUCUCUGGUCUGUAACUGACGCU